UACGUAGGGGGCGAGCGUUGUCCGGAUUUACUGGGCGUAAAGCGCGUGUAGGCGGCUGUCUAAGUUGGGUGUGAAAGCCCGGGGCUCAACCCCGGGACGCCGCCCAAGACUGGACGGCUUGAGGACGGAAGAGGGGCGUGGAAUUCCAGGUGUAGCGGUGAAAUGCGUAGAGAUGUGGAGGAACACCGAUGGCGAAGGCAGCCCCCUGGGUCAAGACUGACGCUCAUGCACGAAAGCGUGGGGAGCAAACAGG
rnacentral:rRNA from 1 species